UACGGAGGGUGCAAGCGUUAUCCGGAUUUACUGGGGUUAAAGGGUGUGUAGGCGGACUUUUAAGUCAGGGGUGAAAUCCCGAGGCUCAACCUCGGAACUGCCUUUGAUACUAUUGGUCUUGAAUCUUGUUGAGGUGGGCGGAACGGGUCAUGUAGCGGUGAAAUGCAUAGAUAUGACCCGGAACACCGAUUGCGAAGGCAGCCCGCUAAGCAAGCAUUGACGCUGAGGCACGAAAGCGUGGGGAUCAAACAGG
rnacentral:rRNA from 1 species